AGUUUGAUCCUGGCUCAGAGCGAACGCUGGCGGCAGGCUUAACACAUGCAAGUCGAGCGGGCGUAGCAAUACGUCAGCGGCAGACGGGUGAGUAACGCGUGGGAACGUACCUUUUGGUUCGGAACAACACAGGGAAACUUGUGCUAAUACCGGAUAAGCCCUUACGGGGAAAGAUUUAUCGCCGAAAGAUCGGCCCGCGUCUGAUUAGCUAGUUGGUGAGGUAAUGGCUCACCAAGGCGACGAUCAGUAGCUGGUYUGAGAGGAUGAUCAGCCACAUUGGGACUGAGACACGGCCCAAACUCCUACGGGAGGCAGCAGUGGGGAAUAUUGGACAAUGGGGGCAACCCUGAUCCAGCCAUGCCGCGUGAGUGAUGAAGGCCCUAGGGUUGUAAAGCUCUUUUGUGCGGGAAGAUAAUGACGGUACCGCAAG
rnacentral:rRNA from 1 species